rnacentral:snRNA from 1 species
AUACUUACCUGGCGUAGAGGUCAACCGUGAUCAAAUUUGGCGGUUCCUCCGGGGAGAGACUUACUCAUUGCACAUAGAGUAGGUUGACCCCUGCGAGUAUCCCUAAUGUGGAUACCUCGGGCGCAUAAUUUUUGGUAGCUGGGACUGCGUUCGCGCCGUCCCUA